GACAGAGGUGCCAAGCGUUAGGCGGAAUCACUGGGCUUAAAGCGUGUGUAGGCGGAUCGUUAAGUACCUUGUGAAAUCCCACGGCUCAACCGUGGAACUGCUGGGUAUACUGGCGGUCUUGAGCCACCUAGGGGCGAGCGGAACAAACGGUGGAGCGGUGAAAUGCGUAGAUAUCGUUUGGAACGCCAACGGUGAAAACAGCUCGCUGGGGGUGUGCUGACGCUGAGACACGAAAGCGUGGGGAGCAAACAGG
rnacentral:rRNA from 1 species